rnacentral:lncRNA from 1 species
UAUAUAAAUUCAGCAUGAUAUUAAAAUUACCGAUAUCCCACCGUUAUUGUGAGUAUCGGUCCUUAGACCGAUAUCCAAUUUUUUACCGCAUUAACGGGUUUGUCAACUAUGGUUUAUUUUAAGCUAACUUUUUAUUUUUACUUGUUUGACCCACUAGAGAUAAAUUGUCACCUCUACACCUAGGUGGACCACCUUACACAACAUAUGGUUCACACUACUCACCGUGUCUGGCCCAACAAGUGGGGCCACAUAUAGGGUGUCGGGAUAGGCCGGGUUCUUCACACUGGUUGAAGCCCAUAGUAACCGUUGCUUCUUAGCUCCUUUCUUCACAAGGGCCUCCCAUCGUGGGCCCGAGAAUUUCUUUUGGUAAAGUUGGAAGGCUAGAGCCGCUUGAGCAUUUGCAGCCUGUAAAAUAAACCAUGUGGUGAAAAAAAGAUUUCGAAGGUAAAUUUUCGAUUAUUUACUUUAAUGAUUGGCUUUUUACCUUUCCUCGAAGAUUGAGGGCCUCUGGGGUUCCGAUUUUUUCAAGCAUUUUGUCGACAAGUGUGUCUACUCGACUAACAAAGAAAGAAGCAACACUUGUAACCCUAGAUAAGUCAUCAAGACCUGAAGCCUCCAAUCCAUCCAAAUAAGCGUCAAUAACUGCCUCGUAUCGUGAUAGUGAAAAUAUGAGCUUUACAUUAACGCUUAUUCCCAGAGAAAUGACAUCUCUAACUGAAGGAACGCAAGCAGCAGUUGCGGGAAUCUUGAUGUAAACAUUGGGACGGUCAACCACUUUAUGCAACCAUUUUGCAGCAUCAACGGUCCCUUGAGUAUCAUCAGCAAGCCGAGGUGAAACCUCAACAGAAACAUAACCAUCACUGCCAUCGGUUUCAUCGUAAAUCGGCUCAAAGAGCCUGCAAGCAUCUUGGAUAUCUUUUACUACAAGUUCCCAAUACGCACUUUCGAUGUCUUUCCCCCCUUGUACAAGUUCCCUGUAAUUACAUCAUUAAUUGUUAAACUAUAGAAGCAGAAUUCAUUUAUCAAAACCAUGGUUGCAAAAGUCGCUAGGCGCUCCCUAGUCGGAUUCGGGAGUACUCGGAAAGUACUCGGCUUAGGCGGAGAUUACUCGGGGUCGGGGAGUAAUUGGCCCGGGAGACCAGUACUCGUGCCUCGGCAGCCUACCCUGUAGCGAGUACUCGGGGAGUACUCGGAGCCUAGGCGGGACUUUUACAACCAUGAUCAAAACAUUAAAAACUUAUUGGGUAUACCUGAAUUGAUCAUUGUAAGCAUUUGAUGUUGAUAUUGCCUUUUGAAAAAUCUGUAAUCACAUAUCAACAUCUCAUCAAAAUUAUCAUGAAUUAGGAAUGUGGAAAGCACAUAUUUAUAUACAUUUUAAAUUAUAUAAACAAAUAUUAGUACAAAAUAAAUGGUUAAUUACCGCGGGGUUGCUUGUAACGCCUCUCACACCACUUUCGAUCAGCGGAAUAAGAUCGGUAACAGGUCGGCAGAGGUUAUCGUACCACGGACUCUGUCCUUGCUUCUCGUAAAGAUCAUGAAGAGUUGUUCUCUUAACAUGGCUUCCAUUUCCACCAUUUUGGCUACAUUUCACACUUUUGAAAAGAAUCAAGUCAGCAACAAGUGUACAAAUCUUUCAAAUUUCACUAAUUGAGUAAAACAAGAAUUAAAAAAAAAAAAGCAAAUCAAAACACUACCACUUACAUGCAUCCCAAAAAAAAUCACAAGCUAAAACUAGUUAAAAAAAAAAAAAAACCCUUAAAGGAACAUGUAAAAAUCAUCACACCACAAAAAGAUUGAAUCUUUUAGGGCAUAGUUAAAAACCCAUAAAAACCCAACUGAAUUAAACUCUAUUAUUUAACCAAUAACAGAUUUUUAACAAUCAAGACUCUACCAACACCAGACCGCCAGUUACACACCUUUGAUCAAUAAUUUAACCCCACAUAACAAAAAAGAAAAUUAAAAUAAAUAACAUAACAAUCAUUAAAUAAAGAUUCAAUAAAUGACAUAAAAAACAGAGUACUCACAGCAAAGAGGCAGCUAGAGGGACAGUGGAUCGAACGGACAACUUGGAGGAAGAAAGGUUGAGUCUUGCCGGAAAACCCAGAUAGACGGCGGUGGUUGGUGGUGGUGGAAGCACCGGCGACGACUUAAGAGGUGUGAUCGGAGAAGAAAGAUUGGAAAUGGAAGCCAUAGAAGGAAGUUGGUGGGUUUUGUGUGUGUGUGUUUUUGAUCUGAAUGAGAUCUAAAGAGGUGAGAGAGAGAUAUAUAUAUGGGGGUUUCUAUUUCACCAACCCCGUCAUCUACGAUGAAAUUGAAAUGGGUUUGGUGAGUUUGAUUAAAUUAAUCAAUUUUAUUUAGGGUUAAAAGGAGAUUAGUGAGGUUAAUCAGCUUUGUGUGUCUGUUCUUGGCGGCUCGUAUAAGCAUUAUUCUUUUAAUUAAUUUAUAUAUUAUU